CAGUAGCCACGGUAAUACAGAGGGUGCGAGCGUUAAUCGGAUUUACUGGGCGUAAAGCGUGCGUAGGCGGCUUUUUAAGUCGGAUGUGAAAUCCCUGAGCUUAACUUAGGAAUUGCAUUCGAUACUGGGAAGCUAGAGUAUGGGAGAGGAUGGUAGAAUUCCGGGUGUAGCGGUGAAAUGCGUAGAGAUCUGGAGGAAUACCGAUGGCGAAGGCAGCCAUCUGGCCUAAUACUGACGCUGAGGUACGAAAGCAUGGGGAGCAAACAGGAUUAGAUACCCCUGUAGUCCCUGUCUCUUAUAC
rnacentral:rRNA from 1 species